rnacentral:rRNA from 1 species
GACAAACGCUGGCGGCGUGCCUAAUACAUGCAAGUCGAACGAGGAAAGCUUUCGGGUGAGUACUAGUGGCGCACGGGUGAGGAAUAUAUGGGUAAUCUGCCCUCGAGUUGGGGAUAACCAAUCGAAAGACUGGCUAAUACCGAAUAAGACCACAGGAUCUGCGGAUCUAGGGGUUAAAGGUUUUUCGCUUGAGGAUGAGCCCAUACGAGAUUAGCUAGUUGGUGAGGUAAUGGCUCACCAAGGCAACGAUCUCUAACUGGUCUUAGAGGAUGAUCAGGCACACUGGAACGGAGACACGGUCCAGACUCCUACGGGAGGCAGCAGUAGGGAAUAUUGCACAAUGGGGGAAACCCUGAUGCAGCGACGCCGCGUGAGUGAUGAAGGCCUUCGGGUCGUAAAGCUCUGUCGUAUGGGACUAACACAAUGAAGGUACCAUGCAAGAAAGGAUCGGCUAACUUCGUGCCAGCAGCCGCAGUAA